UGGGCCGGGGUUGUAGGGGAUUGUAGGCUGGGGGCCACUGCCGCCUGGGCCUUUGGUGGUCCGGAGGGCAUCGGCAGGAGGACGUAGCUUUGCGCCAAAGCUGGGGUGACCUUGGAGGCCUCAUUGCAAGUGGUGCAACAUCUUCAGUGAUGCUUUGGAGGAAGACGACGUCAUGCAAAUUACUACACAAAUCACUAUUGUUAGUUGGGGUUGGCUCUAAAAAGGAAAAGGUUAAGGUGCCUUGAACACUUUGCCUGGUGAUCCAGGUGAAGGUAAGAGCAUGGACAAGGGCCCUGAAGCAGGAAGGAGGAACCCAAAGCAAACCAGCAUGACUGGAGGUAAUGAGCAAGGUAGAGUGGCAUGAGAGGAAGGAGCAUGAUCUUGAUGCAAGAUGCAUGGGUUUGUGGCAGGAAUUUGAUGGAUAGGGACUGGACACUGCCUUGGCACCCUCCCCCCUCUCCCUAGGGGCAGAGCAUCAAUUUAAGAAACCAGAUUGUAACCAGGAGGGGGUGAACCUAGAAACUCAGAAUUUGGGGGGGUGGGGGUGUGGCUUGGAUAGUCGUGGAGUUCAGUGGGCCCCAUGCCUGGAGUCCCCUGUUCCAGAGUCAGGGCCUCCUGCCCUUGUCUGCGGUGGGGGAGGGGGUUUCUGUCUUCCAGUCACAGCCCAGCCUUGCCUCAAGGGAUCAUUCCCAGGUCACCUGACCCAAAUUUGGUGAGUCGUGAAAUCAGAUAGCCCAGACCCUCUCUUGGGCUGGGUUCCUCUCAUCCUAGACAUAUGACUCUCCAGUAUCAGUACUAUAGACUCUUCUUGUGGGAUAGCCUGGGAACUCACCAUACUGUUUUGUUAAACCUCAAAUAACUGACUUAAUAAUGAACUGUUGGCCAGAGCUGCUUGCCUGACCUGGGGGACUGCCUUUUGCCUGCCCCACCCCCUCCCCCACAGCAGUGUCCUCUCGGGAAGUGCGGCUGACCCAGCUGCAUCCGUGGGAAGGCCUGGCCCCCACACCUCGCCCGCCCUCCCGGCCCUGUUGAGGCCACAGGAAAUGACCCUCUUAGCUGCCACGAGCUGUGAUCCAGAGGACAAUGACAGAGGGACGGAAGCCUGUUGGUCCCAGCUAACAUGUCCCCUUGGGUGGAUGCCAGCUACUUGAAACACAAAACUGAAGCUUUAGUGGAAAAAUAUAUUUUUAAAAAACAAACAAACAAUCCUUUGGGCUUUAGCUAACUUCUGAGGCUCUGAGAGGUUUUGUUUUCUUUAUUUAUGUGUGUGUGUUUGUGUUUCAAACAUAGAUAAGGCUCAGAGAAUCAAAGAAUCUAUGGUUUGGAUGUCAGCUGUCCCACCCAAGCAGCAGGCCCCCCUGUGGCGUCUGUCUUCAUGUGGCUGAGCCCCACCUCUCCAUACUGCUGCUAAUCAUGUCCCUUGGCUCUAAGCCACUGUCCUCACCCCACCUCCACUCACCACCUAGCAGAUGGAGAGCUCUUCUCAAACCCAGAUCGGGUCACCCCUGUUAGGGCUCUGCAGGCCAGCUCUUUCUCAUUCUUCAGGUCUCAGCUCAAAGGCCACCUCCUCCAAGGGGCGUCCUGACCACUCUCUAUGAAACAGCACCUCUCAAUCGUUCCCUCUCAUAGCACUCAUUGCAUUUCACCCCAUCUGGAAUGAUCUGGUUUGUUUACACAUACCUGGCGCAUAGUAGGUACUCAGUGGAUGUUUGUUGACUGACUGAAUGUUUUUCAGUGGUUGUUGCAUUCAAAUUAGAGUUGGCUCAGAGAAUCUAUGUUUCAUUGUAUUUCAACAAGUAUUACUGGCUACAAAGUGUGUGCCAGGGCCAGGAAGCAAAGCAGUCAGGAAUUCCACUCAUUCAUUCCUUCAUUCAUUUGGAAGAUAGAGCCCUAAGUAGAUAGUGAUUCAGUCUGCAGGGUAGGGGUUGGGGGGCAGAGACCCAAGAAAGCUUCAUGGAGGAGGGGAUUUGAGGUGGGUUUUCCAUCAAAAGAGAAGCCAGGUGGGGUGGGGGAGAACGGUUCAGCAUGAGGGAGCUGCCGGAGCUGAGGUUUGGAAAUGCGAAUGUGAAUGUGUUUGGAGAAGGAGAGCUGUGGAGCAUGGAAUUUAAUUUAUCCCCUCUUCGGACCUCCAGGGAAGGCAGAGAACUGGUUUUCUGUGGGGCUGCAGGGGAGACACUCCACUUUGUUUGCUGAAGUGAUGGAGGGAUGGAUGUGAAGGGCUGAAGGGAGGGGGUGAAGCUGCUCUGUUGCCAUGGAGGCCUUGAAUGCCAUGCUAAGCAGUCUGGAUUUUCAUCUAGAGGCAACAGAGUCUAAGAAAAAUAAUGACGUUGAGAAGUCUAUUUUAAGAACCUAGAUGUCAUUGACUCCUGAAUUCUAGUUCUCUAGUGAUGCAGGAUGCUUCUGGAAUACAGUUGCUUAGACCCCAUCCUGGAAGAGUUUGAUUCUCUGUAAGAUGUAAUUGGAGCAUGGUCAUCUGCAUUUUCACAACCUUUCCACAUGUUCCCAUCAUUCACCAGGUUUGGUGAGCACUAAGGCUCAGAGAGGUGAAGGUAUUUGCCCAAGGUUACCCAGCCAGACAGUGGCAAAGGGGGCAUUUGAGCCAGGCCCAUCUGGCCCUCCAUGUUUACCAGCUUCAUCUGCAGCUGCCCUCUGGACUAGCUCCUUUCUCCAAUUUUAUUUUGCCCUGAAUACAAGAAUCUGAGCCAUGGCUGGAUCUGGCCGCCCUGUCCUCCCUUCCCCUCCCCAUCCCCAGCCUCAAAGGUCAGGUACCUCCCAGCCUCCUGUGGGCAUGUCCAUUUAUGGCUCUGUUGUUCCAAAAUGUGGCCAAAUUUAUAAACUCCCUCUUCCCGGAGACACGAAACAAUUUGUGCAGAGCGCAGUGCGGGGGCAGAGCUGGGAGCUUCGUCCGAGGCCUGGACUUCAGCCUGGGCCUGAGCCUGAGCCCAGGGAGCUGUGGGGUUGCACAGGCCUCAGUCUCUCCCUGGGCCUCAGUUUCUCCACCUUCAGAGCAAAGGAACUGAUCAUUCCUAAGUCCUUCCAGAGUUUACACACGUCAAUUUACUGCCCACGACUCCGCCUCCCUCACUCCGUCAGCCCGGGAUUGUAAAAGAAGGUCCCAGAGGAUGGAUUGCAACCUCCAGCCUCUCUCCUCUGCAUUGCUUCUUUUCUCUCUUUCUUUUUUCCCCCCCGCUUGAUUUUUUUAAAUUAAAAAGUAAAAGUCCGCCUCUCCAGCCCUCCAUUCCUGCUCUCCUCCCCAGAAGGAUCUGUUGUCAAAGGCGUGGGGUGGCGCUUUCAAGACAGGAGUCUCUGCGUUUGUUUAUAAACGUUCAUGUUCCUACGGGAGGGUUUUAUUUCACUUAUUUUUUUUUUACCUAAAUGGGAAUUGUAUGUUUUGUUUGACAUCUUAUUUUUUCUACUUAAUGUUUUAUCCCUUUUCCCAUUUCUCCCUCAUCUUUUUAAAGAAAGUUUGAGGUAUAAUUUACAUACUAUAAAAUUCACCCACCGUGAAUAUAUAGUUCAAUGAUUUUAAAUAGAUUUAUAGAGCUUUGCGACCAUCACCGCCAUCUAGUUUUAGAACAUUUCCGCCCCUGCAACAAUGUCCUUUUGCCCGUUAGCAAGUCAGUCCCUGCCCUCACCCUCAGCCCCAGGCAACCACGGAACUUUCUGUCUCUAUAGGUUUGCCUUUUCUGAACAUUUCGUAAAUGGAAUCGUACAAUACUUGGUCUUUUGCAUCUGACUUCUUUUAUGAGCAUAACUGUUUGGAGUUUCAUCCAUGCUGUAGGCUUCACGUCAUCCUUUAUAUGGCUAAUAUUCCAUUGCACAGAUGCGUUCCAUUUUGCUUAUCUGUUUACCAGUUGACGGACAUUUGAAUGUUUUCAGUUUGGGGCUAUUACAAAUAGCAUUGCCGUAAACAUUCACAGACAAGUCUUUAUUUGGGCUUGUGUUCGCCUGUCUCUUGGGUGAAUACCUCAAUCCUAACCUUUUAAACUGCUGUGGCAUCUUCCACCCGAAGGACGCACUCUGAUGUCCUAACCUUUCAAUGGAUACUUCGUGUUUCCGAAGUUUUGCUGUCACCAACCGUGCUGCUCUGAGCUUUCUCCCUCUUUGGGCGUGUGUACAAGGAGAGAGACGGCUGGGUCACAGGGUAGGGACAUUUCACAUUUGUUGAAUUGUUGCCAAGUGACAACAUGACAGUCUUGCGUCCUCUUCAAAGGAACAGGAAGAGAAACAAAAGCCACUGUGAAGAUAUCACCCCCAUACUGGUCCAUUGAGCCUGAGGGACUAAACAAGGAGGAGAAAGGCUGCUUCGGGGGAAAAGUCUCCAGGGUGCAGACUGGGCAGUCACAGGAUGGCUGAGACCAGGCAGGAGAAAGAAGAGGCUGGGAUGGGGACUAGAACCCUUCCUCUCAAGCUUCUCUUUUGCAGGCCUGUAAGAUAAUGAGCUCUCUGUCACUGGAGGUGUGUAAGUGGAGGCUAGCCAGCCAUUUGGCAGGGGCUGUAAAGGAGCUCUCGGAAUCUGAUGAGAAACCGAAACACAUGGCUUCUGAGGUAGCAGUGUGGCCGAGGAGUUAAGAAUGUGGGCUUCGCUGGCAGGGGCCCCUCGUUCAAACCUCGACUCUGCCAUUUCCUAGCUCUGUGACGCUGGAAGAGUAAAUUCAGCAAUCGCAGCCUCAAUUCUCGCAGCUGUAAAAGGAGAAGGUGACUCUACCUCUCGUAGUCUCUGGUGGGGGCAGGCCAAUGACAUCAUGUGGGUGGGGCUCAACUGUCAGGCCUAUGAUUAUGACUCCCUAAAUCCUGUGAUCGCGGGCUGUGCUGUCUGGGGACCCCAGGAAAUGGGCAUGAGAGAACAGUGAGGUGUGCCCAGUGGCUUCCAGAGAAGGAAUGGCCUCCACAACCCUCACAGCAUGGGACUCACAUCCAGGCUCUCCCUAUUUCCAGCCACGUGACCUCGGGCAAGGAUUUAAUCUGUGGCUCCAUGUCCUCAUCUGCACAACAGUAAUAAUACCAACUUCAGAGGGUUGUGGGGCAGCGAGGUUAAAUUUCAUGUGACAGAAAAUGGCAAAAUAACAGUGGCUAACCCAA